rnacentral:rRNA from 1 species
GAUGAACGCUAGCUACAGGCUUAACACAUGCAAGUCGCGGGGCAGCAUGGGGGUUGCUUGCAAUCCCCGAUGGCGACCGGCGCACGGGUGAGUAACGCGUAUCCAACCUGCCCUUCACCACGGGAUAACCCGGCGAAAGUCGGACUAAUACCGUAUGUUGUCCAUUGACGGCAUCCGAUUUGGACGAAAGGUUUGGCGGUGAAGGAUGGGGAUGCGUCCGAUUAGCUGGACGGCGGGGUGACGGCCCACCGUGGCGACGAUCGGUAGGGGUUCUGAGAGGAAGGUCCCCCACACUGGAACUGAGACACGGUCCAGACUCCUACGGGAGGCAGCAGUGAGGAAUAUUGGUCAAUGGGCGUAAGCCUGAACCAGCCAAGUAGCGUGCAGGAUGACGGCCCUAUGGGUUGUAAACUGCUUUUAUGCGGGGAUAAAGUGGCCCACGUGUGGGUUUUUGCAGGCACCGCAUGAAUAAGGACCGGCUAAUUCCGUG